rnacentral:lncRNA from 1 species
GGAUUCAAUGCCUGGGCCUAAAAUAUCCUAUUACGGCUUCAACCUCGAGGCUUGAAAGAAAUAAACUGGAGUCCGCAGCUGACAUGGGGCCGAUUCCGGAAUCCUGCGACGACAGACAUUAUUUUUCUUUGUAUGAGUGGGUUGAUGAUGACGAGUCAGUUGAGGCCAUGCUCUGGCCAGGCUAAUGCAAAGUAAGAACUUAUUUGCUAGGCCGAAAAUAAGACAGGCAGUAAGACGGAGUAAAAAAAAGCCAGACAAGGGGGCUUUGGUGGUUGUUUAUCCGUUACAUCAGUUAGUGUAUUGUAAUGUUUGGUCUUGUCAGCCUCGUAUACGUGUGACGAGUGAUACAUUGGCAGUGUAACGGGUGGUAAACUUGGACAACAUCUUGGGUAUGGUGGUAUUUAUGGUAACUUUCGUACUGUAAUGGGCUGGCCCUAAACAGAAGUCCCAAUCACUCCUCAAAAUAAAUACUACUACGUAACUUAGUAACGUUGAACUUGGCCCAAUGAAGCUAGUAUUCGGCGAGUAGAUCACAAAAAACCUGAAAUACCUAAGCGACUACCGAAGCACAGCGUGCAAAGCCAGAUCUUAGUCCGAGGGAUAGCGGUCCCGUAUUUGACGAGAGCCCGUUGUGCAAGGUCUCUCUAUUUUCUAUUAUAUUGAGGACGUCUUAAUAUGCUCGUAUGGACAUCCGAAUGAUCCGAUCUAAAGUGUGCCAGCAUCGACGAUGACUGGUUGAGGGUUCAUCUAGUACCGGUGAUGUCCGGCAUUUGGCACAACUCGUUGAACACGAUGCCGAAACGAAGAGCGGAUCUUAAAGUCGCAGUAUGAAGAUUGGACCAUAUCUCCCAGAAUUGAAGCCCGCCAUGCACUAGUCGAGAAUACAGCAGUUGGUGUUGGUGAACUAGCAAUAUGCUAAUACUAUGCCUUACCUAGGUCCAGGGGUACCCGUGUACAGCUUGCCGCUCCCACGCAUUCAUGCGAGGCAAAUUGCCUAAGAACGAGAUGUUGCAGCACCAACCUCCAAGAUUGAGGCUUAACAAGGGCGAGAACAGGAACGGUGGUAGCAU